rnacentral:rRNA from 1 species
GACGAACGCUGGCGGCGUGCUUAACACAUGCAAGUCGAACGGAAAGGCCCUGCUUUUGUGGGGUGCUCGAGUGGCGAACGGGUGAGUAACACGUGAGUAACCUGCCCUUGACUUUGGGAUAACUUCAGGAAACUGGGGCUAAUACCGGAUAGGAGCUCCUGCUGCAUGGUGGGGGUUGGAAAGUUUCGGCGGUUGGGGAUGGACUCGCGGCUUAUCAGCUUGUUGGUGGGGUAGUGGCUUACCAAGGCUUUGACGGGUAGCCGGCCUGAGAGGGUGACCGGCCACAUUGGGACUGAGAUACGGCCCAGACUCCUACGGGAGGCAGCAGUGGGGAAUAUUGCACAAUGGGCGGAAGCCUGAUGCAGCAACGCCGCGUGCGGGAUGACGGCCUUCGGGUUGUAAACCGCUUUCGCCUGUGACGAAGCGUGAGUGACGGUAAUGGGUAAAGAAGCACCGGCUAACUACGUGCCAGCAGCCGCGGUGAUACGUAGGGUGCGAGCGUUGUCCGGAUUUAUUGGGCGUAAAGGGCUCGUAGGUGGUUGAUCGCGUCGGAAGUGUAAUCUUGGGGCUUAACCCUGAGCGUGCUUUCGAUACGGGUUGACUUGAGGAAGGUAGGGGAGAAUGGAAUUCCUGGUGGAGCGGUGGAAUGCGCAGAUAUCAGGAGGAACACCAGUGGCGAAGGCGGUUCUCUGGGCCUUUCCUGACGCUGAGGAACGAAAGCGUGGGGAGCGAACAGGCUUAGAUACCCUGGUAGUCCACGCUGUAAACGGUGGGUACUAGGUGUGGGGUCCAUUCCACGGGUUCCGUGCCGUAGCUAACGCUUUAAGUACCCCGCCUGGGGAGUACGGCCGCAAGGCUAAAACUCAAAGGAAUUGACGGGGCCCCGCACAAGCGGCGGAGCAUGCGGAUUAAUUCGAUGCAACGCGUAGAACCUUACCUGGGUUUGACAUGGAUCGGGAGCGCUCAGAGAUGGGUGUGCCUCUUUUGGGGUCGGUUCACAGGUGGUGCAUGGCUGUCGUCAGCUCGUGUCGUGAGAUGUUGGGUUAAGUCCCGCAACGAGCGCAACCCUUGUUCACUGUUGCCAGCACGUUAUGGUGGGGACUCAGUGGAGACCGCCGGGGUCAACUCGGAGGAAGGUGGGGAUGACGUCAAGUCAUCAUGCCCCUUAUGUCCAGGGCUUCACGCAUGCUACAAUGGCUGGUACAGAGAGUGGCGAGCCUGUGAGGGUGAGCGAAUCUCGGAAAGCCGGUCUCAGUUCGGAUUGGGGUCUGCAACUCGACCUCAUGAAGUCGGAGUCGCUAGUAAUCGCAGAUCAGCAACGCUGCGGUGAAUACGUUCCCGGGGCU